UACGUAGGUGGCGAGCGUUGUCCGGAAUUACUGGGUGUAAAGCGCGUGUAGGCGGGAGGCCAAGUCUGUGGUGAAAUCGCUCGGCUUAACUGGGCGGGGUCCAUGGAAACUGGUCACCUGGAGGUCGGUAGAGGCAAGUGGAAUUCCCGGUGUAGUGGUGAAAUGCGUAGAGAUCGGGAGGAACACCAGUGGCUAAGGCGGCUUGCUGGGCCGGACCUGACGCUGAGACGCGAAGGCGUGGGGAGCGAACGGG
rnacentral:rRNA from 1 species